CAAGGAAUAUUGUGCAAUGGGCGAAAGCCUGACACAGCGACGCCGCGUGGGGGAAGACGGCCUUCGGGUUGUAAACCCCUUUUCCCGGGGAAGAAUAAAAUGACGGUACCCGGGGAAUAAGUCUCGGCUAACUACGUGCCAGCAGCCGCGGUAAUACGUAGGAGGCGAGCGUUAUCCGGAUUUACUGGGCGUAAAGAGGGCGUAGGCGGCUUGUCAAGUCGGAUGUAAAAUCUCCCGGCUUAACCGGGAGGGAUCGUUCGAUACUGGUAGGCUGGAGUGCAGCAGAGGAAAGUGGAAUUCCCGGUGUAGUGGUGAAAUGCGUAGAUAUCGGGAGGAACACCAGUGGCGAAGGCGGCUUUCUGGGCUGUUACUGACGCUGAGGCCCGAAGGCGUGGGGAGCGAACAGG
rnacentral:rRNA from 1 species